rnacentral:rRNA from 1 species
AUUGAACGCUGGCGGCAUGCCUUACACAUGCAAGUCGAACGGCAGCACGGGUGCUUGCCCCUGGUGGCGAGUGGCGCACGGGUGAGUAAUACAUCGGAACAUGUCCUGUAGUGGGGGAUAGCCCGGCGAAAGCCGGAUUAAUACCGCCUACGAUCUACGGAUGAAAGCGGGGGCCCUUCGGGCCUCGCGCUAUAGGGUUGGCCGAUGGCUGAUUAGCUAGUUGGUGGGGUAAAGGCCUACCAAGGCGACGAUCAGUAGCUGGUCUGAGAGGACGACCAGCCACACUGGGACUGAGACACGGCCCAGACUCCUACGGGAGGCAGGAGUGGGGAAUUUUGGACAAUGGGCGAAAGCCUGAUCCAGCAAUGCCGCGUGUGUGAAGAAGGCCUUCGGGUUGUAAAGCACUUUUGUCCGGAAAGAAAUACUUGGCCCUAAUACGGUCGGGGGAUGACGGUACCGGAAGAAUAAGCACCGGCUAACUACGUG